GCCAACGUGGCUCAGAUGGUAGAGCAACGCACUCGUAAUGCGUAGGUCGGCAGUUCGAGUCUGCCCGUUGGCA
rnacentral:tRNA from 1 species